rnacentral:rRNA from 1 species
GCCAGACUCCUACGGGAGGCAGCAGUGGGGAAUAUUGCACAAUGGGGGAAACCCUGAUGCAGCGACGCCGCGUGAGCGAUGAAGUAUUUCGGUAUGUAAAGCUCUAUCAGCAGGGAAGAAAAUGACGGUACCUGAAGAAGAAGCCCCGGCUAACUACGUGCCAGCAGCCGCGGUAAUACGUAGGGGGCAAGCGUUAUCCGGAUUUACUGGGUGUAAAGGGGGCGCAGACGGCGAUGCAAGCCAGGAGUGAAAGCCCGGGGCCCAACCCCGGGACUGCUCUGGAAACUGCGGCGCUGGAGUACGGGAGGGGCAGGCGGAAUUCCUGGUGUAGCGGUGAAAUGCGUAGAUAUCAGGAGGAACACCGGCGGCGAAGGCGGCCUGCUGGACCGUGACUGACGUUGAGGCUCGAGAGCGUGGGGAGCAAACAGGAUUAGAUACCCGAGUAC